rnacentral:rRNA from 1 species
AGUGAACGCUGGCGGUAGGCCUAACACAUGCAAGUCGAACGGCACCACAGUAAGAGCUUGCUCUUACGUGUGGCGCGUGGCGGACGGGUGAGGAAUACAUCGGAAUCUACUUUUUCGUGGGGGAUAACGUCGGGAAACUUACGCUAAUACCGCAUACGACCUACGGGUGAAAGCAGGGGAUCUUCGGACCUUUCGCGAUUGAAUGAGCCGAUGUCGGAUUACCUAGUUGGCGGGGUCAAGGCCCACCAAGGCGACCAUCCGUACCUGGUCUGAGAGGAUGGUCAGCCAGACUGGAACUGAGAAACGGCCCAGACGCCGACGGGAGGAAGCAGUGGGGAAUAUUGGACAAGGGGGGCAAGCCUGAUCCAGCGAUACCGCGUGGGUGAAGAAGGCCUUAGGGUUGGAGAGCCCUUUUGUUGGGAAAGAAAAGCAGCAGGUUAAUACCCCGCGGUUCUGACGGUACCCAAAGAAUAAGCACCGGCUAACUUCGUG